rnacentral:rRNA from 1 species
AUACGUAGGGGGCGAGCGUUGUCCGGAAUGAUUGGGCGUAAAGGGCGCGUAGGCGGCCCGGUAAGUCUGGAGUGAAAGUCCUGUUUUUAAGAUGGGAAUUGCUUUGGAUACUGUCGGGCUUGAGUGCAGGAGAGGUAAGUGGAAUUCCCAGUGUAGCGGUGAAAUGCGUAGAGAUUGGGAGGAACACCAGUGGCGAAGGCGACUUACUGGACUGUAACUGACGCUGAGGCGCGAAAGUGUGGGGAGCAAACAGGAUUAGAUACCCUGGUAGUCCACACUGUAAACGAUGAAUGCUAGGUGUAGGGGGUAUCGACCCCUUCUGUGCCGCAGUCAACACAAUAAGCAUUCCGCCUGGGGAGUACGACCGCAAGGUUGAAACUCAAAUGAAUUGACGGGG